rnacentral:rRNA from 1 species
UACGGGGGGGGCAAGCGUUGUUCGGAAUUACUGGGCGUAAAGGGCGCGUAGGCGGCCUGCUAAGUCGGACGUGAAAUCCCUCGGCCCAACCGGGGAACUGCGUCCGAUACUGGUGGGCUCGAAUCCGGGAGAGGGAUGUGGAAUUCCAGGUGUAGCGGUGAAAUGCGUAGAUAUCGGAAGGAACAUCAGUGGCGAAAGCGACUUCCUGGACCAGUACCGACGUUCAGGCACGAAAGCGUGGGGAGCAAACAGG